UUUUGUGUUCAGUUGUGAGAAAAGACUAUUUAAGGUAAUACGCUCCUGAAUGUGCUAAAAUCAAAUACCGCAGCUGGACCAGAUUAACUCAGGACACCACCAGUGGACUAGAAUUGCAAUGACCCCACACGAUCUUACCUGCUCCUCAGACCACAGCCAAGGAAGAGAUUUCUGACAAACAAGCAAAAACACAACACUGUCCACACAACUGUAAAUAUGCAAGGAAGAGUUUCUUCUUGCCUGAAAACUGCUGUACAAGCAUGGCACCAGCAUCUGAGGCAAAAG
rnacentral:lncRNA from 1 species